rnacentral:lncRNA from 1 species
GCCGCGGGCAGGUGCGCGGCAGCGGGGCGCGGGUGCUCCAGGCCUCCUCGAUGCCCGGCCGCUGCUCGGCGACCGUCCCCGUCCCCAUCCCCGCAAGAGACUGACUUGUGUAGCUGCUUCGAGAGCGUCCGCUUCGGGGAUGACAUUUCAGGACGCGGGACAGCGACUGGCUCAGGUGGGUUCCUCAGCACCGGACGUGCGGGCGGGGCAGGGGCGCGGGCUCGGGGUCACUCCUCAGCUCAGGGCCUCGCGGGAAAUCAUGAACCCCUCCAUCCCCCCCUCCUCCCUCCCUCCCUCCCUCCUUCCGUCCCCUCCGCUCUCCCCCCUCCUCCCUCCCCCUCCUCUCUCCCCCUCCCUCCCCCCUCCUCUCUCCUUCCCUCCCCCCUCCUCUCUCCCCCUCUGUUCCUUCCUCCCUCCCUCCCUCCCCCAUCCUUUCUCUCUUCCUUCCUCCCUCCCUCCCUUCCCCCUCCUCUCUCCCCCCUCCUCUCUCCCCCUGUUCCUUCCUCCCUUCCUCCCCCUCCUCCUCCCCCCCUCCCCCCUCCUCCCUCCCCCCUCCUCUCUCCCCCUAUUCCUUCCUCCCUCCCUCCCCUCUCCUCUCUCCCCCCUCCUCUCUCCCCCCUCUCUCCCCCCUCCUCUCUCCCCCGUUCCUUCCUUCCUCCCUCCCUCCCUCCCCCUCCUCUCUCUCCCCUCCUCCUUCCCCCCUCCUCUCUCCCCCUCUGUUCCUUCCUUCCUUCCUCCCUCCCCCCUCCUCUCUCCCUCCCUCUCCCCCUCCUCUCUCCCCCACUGUUCCUGUUCCUUCCUUCCUCCCUCCCCUCCCUCCCUCCAUCCCUUCCUUCUUCCCUCCCACUCUCUCUCACUCCUCUCUUCCCUCCCUCCCCCCUCUCUCUCCUCUCCUCCCUCUCUCCCUCCCCCCCCCCCUCUCUCCCUCCCUCUGUCCAUCCCUCCGUCCCUCCCCCCUUCCUUCUCUUUCUCCCUCUGUGGACACAGGGGAAGGACAGGGAGACAAUGUGCCGCAGGCCCAAGGCCAGGCUGGGGCGCGAUGUGGCUGCACCUGCCAACCCGAGGUCACAGCUGGCGGGCCCGGACACUGGGGGCCGUGGCUCACCUGUCACCUGCUCACCUGUCACCUGCCUGCCCACACUCCCGGAAGAGUCCCAGCGGCCCUGAAGGUGCUAGAAGCUUUGAAGGCCACGGGGCCUUAGCGGAGUGGCUGCAUGUGCUUCUCCCAGCCCCGGGGCCCCGACGACCCCCUCGUGUCCCGUGGAAGUCAUCGCAGAACCAAUCCUGAGAACCACAAAGAGCCCUUGGGGCUGAAAACUUCUUUUGAUCGAGUGAAUUACUGCUGCCUUGAAUUUGCUUUCUUUGCAAUAAAUGAAGGAAUGGAUUAGAUAUCCCAUCUUUUAAGUAGCCAUCAAAAAUCCUGGUAGGAUUCCCAUUUUUUUUUCUGAGCAUUAAGCCUUUAAAAUUGGAAAUGCUUAAGUGUUUAGGGGUUUUAGUCAUAUUUUUUUUCUUGGAAAAUAUCAAAAUGAAGUUGUCAGAGGUCCCUAAAAUCACUGCCUAGCAAAUAAUCCUCCAAGGCUGUCAGGGUCUAAGGGGGCUUUUAUUCAGCCUAGGGAGUUAUCUUGUUGACAAGGAGCUUACCAAACACUGAAUAGAAGAAAACCCAUUUAUGAGAAAUGGGCCAGUUGGUGCAUCAAAUCAGCGGUUAAUCUAAACCCGGCAGAGAAAC